AUUAUACACACAGAAUAUCAUUUCUUUCUCUUCCUUCUACACGUAAACCAAGGAAUCCUUUGUUCUUCAUCCAGUUCAUCGAUUCUUUGUUCGGGUCUCAUGAUGGAUUCGGAUCCUUUAUAUUUCUUUUAGCACUAUCUUCCUUCACACAAUUCACAAACCCUAGCUCUUCCCCUGCUUCUCUUUCUUUGCAUUCUUAUACCCUAUCCUCCCAUCGCUUCAUCGCAAUCCUCGCAGACUUAUUGGAGACAAAGGGGAUUCAUCAGUCUUAAUUAAUCGCAUAAACCCUAAAAGUCUUCUUCUCCAUCACAUGUAAGCUGUUCUUGAUUCAAUUGCAAGGUCUCGAUGGAUCUGUCACUCUUCGCGGUGAGGGCAUGAAUAGCUUGUCAUUGGCUAAUAGAUCAUCUAUUACGAAUUACGUGCAACGAUGGGCUUCUUUCUUGUAGAUCAUGUUACACUGCAGUACCUUAAGUUAACAGAACGAAGUGAUGAUACUGUAAGCUUUCUUCUUUGUAUUCUAAAAUAAGUUAACUUUUAGUUAAUAAAAUUCAGGAUGUGUUAUCCGCCACGAAGUUUGAAGAAUUGUCAAAGAUGUUAAUAGAAAGGUAUAUGGGAAUUAUACAGUAAAAUAAUUACAACUGAGCAUUCAAUUUCCCCAGUUUUGAUUAUGUAUCUGAUUAGAUUUGGAAUAUAUUUGUUGUAUCAUUAAUUAUGUGGUGCAUGGUUUGAUAAUAUUGACAAUAAGAAGUGUAGGAGGCUGUAUCACUCUUGAAUGCUAAGAUAAUUCGUGAAUGGCUAAAGUUAUUAUGGAUUUCUCACAUCAUGCAACCUAUUAGCUGAGAUAUUCCUUCAUGGGGAAGGCCAUUGGUGGAUGAGCAUUUAAAUUUCUAUAUCUAAUAAAAGAAAAGCUUGGCACUUGUCUGAGACAAGGUAGAUGAAAUGGGCAAGUAGCUGGAGCAAAUUUUCUUUUAAAGGAGUUGGUUCUUUUUCACAAGGAGUGAUGGAUGUCCGUUGUGGCUAUGGAAUUUGUUGCCAUGGAGAGGAGUUUCAAUGCCUUUUCCCUGAAAACGUGGUCCAAGAAAUAGAAACACCACUUUUUGUAACAAACACGGCCUAUGAUUCAGGGCAGAUAAAGAAUGCAGUAGCUCCUGGGGUAGUUGAUCCUCAUGGUAAAUGGCACGACUGUAAAAUGGAUAUUGAGCAGUGUUCAUCUGAUCAAAUUGAGAUCAUACAAGGUUGGAGUUCAUACGCGCAUUGGAUGGAUUUUUUGGCACUUCUUCACCAAGAGGGAUGUUUAUCAACUCUUGCUAUGCCCACUGCCAAACUGAAAUACAAGAGACAUGGUAUAUGAGUGAUUCACCCAUGUUGAGUAACAAGGUAAACUGGGCCAGCCCGUUUGUUCUCUUAUAAGUGAGUCGAUUUGAGUUAUAAUUUAUCGCUGACGGGUCAAACGAGGAUAAUUAGUUGUAAACUUUUCAUAAACUUAAACAUGGGUUGUGAACUUGUAAGAGAUUUAUAAGCUUAUUGAUUGCUUAUGAUCCGUGUUUAUAACUUUUGGUAAUUUUUUUACACUUAAUUGGGUUUGGGUAUGUCGUAAAAUUCAGUUUUUAGUGUACUUAGUUUUUCAGGUUGCUUUGGGUUAGGCUCGGUAUGUGGUUUCGGGUCAGUUUCGAUAACCAAUUAUAGGUAAAAUCGACAACGCGCCAAUGCUUGGACACCAUGUAUGGUCCAUAGUUCAUGGAACUUUUGUUUAGCUUCAUAACUUCGUUUUAAAGUUUAUUUGCUAAAUUGAAGUAUUGGCUCACCUUAAAGGGAAAGUUGUUUUCAUGAUCUUUCCAAAUGGUGAAUUUCCAGCUAUAAUGUAGUUCCCAGGAUCAUUUACACUACAUGGGGACAUCACAUGAAGGUCAUGUUGCAACACGCUCUGCAAGACUAAAUCUGAUAUCUUUAUUAUGGUUUAUCCAAUGAAAAUAUAAAGGUCGGAAUGUCAAUUACGUUUAAGCAACAGUUGGUCAUUUCUACAAACCAACCCUUAAAAAUAAAAUGCCUGUUGUUCACCUAUUGCGAGCAAAACUAUUUAACGAGCACAAGUAAUGGAUGUGUUUUUUCACUUACAAGCACACAUUUACCAUAGACUUAGUUUGGUCAGAUAAUUUGGAAUGGGUCCAACUGGUAAUCAAUUAUGGAUUUGAAGCAACAUAUCAAAGGGAAGUUGUUGAAGUUGGAGGUUGAUCAUCAAAAUACAUCAAGUUAUCAAGAUAUGAUUGUACAUGUUUCAAACCGUAUUGUCAAUUAGAGUAUUUGAUUCAUUUAAGAUUGAUGUGAAACAAUUAUAUAAAGUUCAGUUGAUUUUAUGAUUGAAGUAGUGUGAUUGUAUUAAGAAUUAUAUAUACCUAAGUAACUUGGUGCGUUUUUAUCCCAA